rnacentral:rRNA from 1 species
CCUACGGGAGGCAGCAGUGAGGAAUAUUGGUCAAUGGGCGGAAGCCUGAACCAGCCAAGUCGCGUGAGGGAGUAAGGCCCUACGGGUCGUAAACCUCUUUUGCCGGGGAGCAGUGCCCAGCUCGUGAGCUGGGAGGGAGCGUACCCGGAGAAAAAGCAUCGGCUAACUCCGUGCCAGCAGCCGCGGUAAUACGGAGGAUGCGAGCGUUAUCGGGAUUUACUGGGUUUAAGGGAUGCGGUGGCGGGCCUUAAGGCCGGCGGGAAAAUGGCGGGGCUCAACCCCGCCGAGCCGUCGGAACCGGGGGCCUUGAGUACCGGAGAGGUACGCGGAAUGCGUGGUGUAGCGGUGAAAUGCAUAGAUAUCACGCAGAACCCCGAUUGCGAAGGCAGCGUACCGGCCGGUCACUGACGCUGAGGCACGAAAGCGCGGGUAUCGAACAGGAUUAGAUACCCCUGUAGUC